CGACAAACAUAAUCGCGGAUACAUCACUGCGUCAGAUCUUCGAGCGGUAUUGCAAUGUUUGGGAGAGGAUCUUUCUGAAGAAGAAAUCGAGGAAAUGAUUAGAGAAGUGGACGUAGACGGAGAUGGGCGAAUUGACUUUUAUGAAUUUGUUCACGCUCUCGGCGAGCCCGGAAUCGACGAAGAUGAAGAGGACGACGAGGAGGAUUUGCAAUCUCCACUGUUUUAAGAUCACGUUUAUUCUUAUCUUCUUGUUAGAUAGACCAGAAAUCGAUACGAGCAAAAAUGAAGUGCAAUCUCACUUACACACAAUAUUCUUUCUCUCGUAUUUGCAAUUCGAAUCGCGUACGAUUGCAUUUGACAAACAGGAUGAGAGCUUCAUCUUUGCGAACACUCGUCCGCAUUUCAUUAGUUCUCUGCUCACAUUUUUCUUCUCAAAUUUUGGAUCCAAUUUUAACGCUGGAACACAAACGUUAAGCGUAUUACGAAUAGAUUGAGAAAACAACUGUGCACCGAGCUAUAUUAUAUUCGCGAAUGAUUCUAACGUACGUACAGUACGAAUUUGCACUUUUGAUGUAUGUUAAACGAAUCAUACAUGAACUGAGCUUCUCUUUCGAUAUUGGGAAAUUUUCAAUUCAAGCACGUGUGACGAGAUAUCAUGAGGUCUUGAAAUGUACAACAAACUACCAGCCGUCCGCUGAUAUAUAGAUAUAAAUACGCAUUACGAAAAUUUUAAACUAUAAUUUUAAAAAAUUAUGAGAUCUUAGAGAUAAAGCAACAUAAAUAAGAAAGUGUGAAGAACUUCUGUCGCGUAUAGAUGAUGAUUAAUUUUAAACUAUUAAAUCAGAAUUUUGUAGUACGCGUUUAACAAGUUGCUGAUAACUGAGAGAUAAUUAUAGGAUAGUCGGUGACAAAUCGGGUAAGAGUUUGCCGCACAGAACGAUAAGCGUUCCUGGCAGCGUGCCAUAAGUUUGUUAAAACGACAGAUAAAUCAGCGGUCGGCUAAUACAGUGAAUUUCAUCUCACCAGACGGAAGUUGCUAGAAAGCGAGAAGUGCCCCUGUGUAUUACUUUACGACAAACAAGUCGGUGUGAGAAUAUACUCGUCGCGACACAAGAAACGCUAAGAGCGAAAGAUGUUAACCUAGUUGAAAUAAAUUAUUCAUUUUGCACGUAUUUUUGAACCUAUCGCUUCGGUAUAUCAGAGGCGAUGGCGAUUUCUCGCUUCUUGGCUCUUCUCUUUUUUUCCGAGUUUUUCGACGCCGCGCACAUUGGCCGGCUUUUACGAUGUAAGAUCGACUAGAUCGUAAUGAAUUCCGUCUCGUAAAUAUGUGGAUCUUUUUCUCGAUUUUACUCUCGUCUAACAUAUAACUUAUAGAUAACGUUAUAUUCUAUCUAAAACUAAUCUUAAGAGAAACAAGCGCAAUUUCUCAACAGAUCGUGUACUGGAUGCGCCUCCGCAUACAUCGUGACUGCUCGAUCAUCGAGUGAAUGAGAAGAAAAAAGGGAGUCUAAAGGAUCGCGCAUGUUCCAGUCAUUCAGUCGCUCAGCGAACCUAAUAAUCUGUGUCUUAUCGCGUCAGAUCAAUACGUCUUCUACGAGAAAAAUCUUUCUUGAUCGUUCCAAAUUUACCAAAUGACUGGCCAGUGAAUUAUUGGCGCGAUCUUCGCUCGCUUUACUCUCUUCGAAUCUCGUAUUAUGUACCUAAAACGACUGUAUCACUGUUACGCCAUUAACAAAGCCGCACGCUAUUUCAAGUAUUUUAAAGGAUUUAAUAAAUCACUAUAAAUAUAUCAUUUGCAAAUCAAAUCAUACUUUUUUCCUCUUACCUGCUUUUUGAAAAACAAAACGAACA